rnacentral:lncRNA from 10 species
UAAUUUUCAAAAUUACAUAGAAAAGGCUUCUAAGAAUAAAAUACAGUCUGUAACUAUUCUAGAAGACUUAAAAGACUACAACUAAUGGAUCCCAAAUUUUAAAGUACUUCUGGAAGCUGAAGAAAUAAAAAUGAAAAAUAAUCCAAGGAGUGACAAAGAGGCCAUUUUCAAUGCCAGACGUAGAGGAGCCCUGAGAAGGAUCUGGAAAUUCAAGGAGAACCCCCAAUCCCAGAAGAGCAGGGCUUAGUAUGCAGAUGGCCUGGGCAGCUCAUAGGGUGCUCAGGCAUAAUCCUCUUUGGCUUUGAUCCCGGCUCUUCCAGAUGACAAGCCAGCUACUACCAGUGGAUGGGAACAGUCACCUGGGUGAAAGCCGUGUGCUCUUCCUGGUCUGCGAUGCUUUCUGUGGCCCCUGGACACUGGUCCCUUGCCCUGAAGAUGGUGCAUUACUCAGCAUCAGAAAGUGCUGGCCUAGUCUCAGCACAGUGUUAUACAAAUUAGAACAUCAUGUGGCAAAGACCCACAGAAAAGUUAUCUAGAAAGAGUAUUUUUUUCAGAGCAAGAUUUGCCACAGUCUCCAUAGGAAAAAUGCAAAAUAUUCUCUGUCUUCGUCCAUUCCGGUUGCUGUCACAAAAAUGCCAUAAUCAUAUAAACAAGAGACAUUUGUUUCUCACAGCUCUGGAGGCUGGGAAGUCCAAGAUGAACACGGAUUCGGCAUCGGUAAAUGGAAGAGGAUUCGGAGCUUCCACAGCUCUAUCCAGCUCCUUCCCAGGGAGCCUGACUCCCUGUCCACUCAUGGGAGCUGAGAGGGGGUGCACCAGGCAGCCUAUCCCUCAAGCAAGGGCAGCCAGAGUGACUUCACAGGUGGAGAAGCCGAGAACCGGCCAGGCAAAGGCCACCAAAAGCGAGGGCAUCUACCCUCUCUCACCCCGGAUGAGGUCUCAGAACCUUUAACAUGUGACAUGCCCGUGACUGAGGACAAGGCUCUCUGAACUCCGGAGUUAGUUGGCUUUUUCAGUCCCAGGCUUGGCACCAAGAUUUAUGUUCCUAGUGUGACCACACUCACCAUCCAUCACGAUUAGUUACAAUAAAAUCUCUCUUCGUGUUUUCAAAAGCCCUUCAAGUUACAUUCCAUUAUGCAGUUAACAUCUCGCAGAUGGCCAGGCCAUUGUUCAAUCAGGGAACCAUUUUUUGAUCUCUGAAAAGGAAAGUAGGGGACUAGCGCUUGACCUUCCCAGAGGCCCUUGAGAUCCUGAGCCUGGAGUCGAGAAGAGAAAACAAAGAAGGGGGCCCCUCUUCUCCUGCCAAGAACUCGGUGGUUCGACUGAAAUGAGUGGAUGGACAAAACAGAAGGGCUUGGGUUAACUGCCUUUUUCUUGAGGGAAGUUAACCCGGACGCCCUCUGGUCUCUAGAACACCUGGUGUGUGUUCUCUGAAACAGUUUAACCACAUAGGAUCGCCCCCUCUGGGGCAUGCUGUUCUCAGGCCGGCCCAGGCCUGACACAUUCAAUUAACAUUUGAUCCAAACCCUGCUGGGAACUCAGAUGACAAAAGGUGAAGGGAUGAUUACGGACAUGGACAUUGUCCCCAUACUUUUUGCUCCAAACCUCCUCUCUCUACCUUCCACCCAGGUCCGUAUUAGCCCUGUAUGAAGCCCCUUCCCCUACCGCUGUUCACCUGGUGGCCCGGGCCCUGUGGUAAAUUUUGUUGCUGCUCCUAAAUAAUCACUGC